AGUGAACGCUGGCGGUAGGCCUAACACAUGCAAGUCGAACGGCAGCACAGUAAGAGCUUGCUCUUACGGGUGGCGAGUGGCAGACGGGUGAGGAAUACAUCGGAAUCUACUUUUUCGUGGGGGAUAACGUAGGGAAACUUACGCUAAUACCGCAUACGACCUACGGGUGAAAGCAGGGGAUCUUCGGACCUUGCGCGAUUGAAUGAGCCGAUGUCGGAUUAGCUAGUUGGCGGGGUAAAGGCCCACCAAGGCGACGAUCCGUAGCUGGUCUGAGAGGAUGAUCAGCCACACUGGAACUGAGACACGGUCCAGACUCCUACGGGAGGCAGCAGUGGGGAAUAUUGGACAAUGGGCGCAAGCCUGAUCCAGCCAUACCGCGUGGGUGAAGAAGGCCUUCGGGUUGUAAAGCCAUUUUGUUGGGAAAGAAAAGCAGCAGGUUAAUACCCCGCUGUUCUGACGGUACCCAAAGAAUAAGCACCGGCUAACUUCGU
rnacentral:rRNA from 1 species